GCGAUCGUGGCGGAAUUGGCAGACGCGCUAGAUUCAGGUUCUAGUGGGGUAACACCCGUGGAGGUUCGACUCCUCUCGAUCGCACCA
rnacentral:tRNA from 1 species